rnacentral:rRNA from 1 species
GAAAUGCGUGGCAUACGGCUCAGUAACACGUAGUCAACAUGCCCAGGGGACGUGGAUAACCUCGGGGAACUGAGGAUAAACCGCGAUAGGCCAUGAUUUCUGGAAUGGUUCAUGGCUGAAAUCUAUAUGGCCCCUGGAUUGGACUGCGGCCGAUCAGGCUGUUGGUGAAGUAAUGGCCCACCAAACCUGUAACCGGUACGGGCUCUGAGAGGAGGAGCCCGGAGAUGGGCACUGAGACAAGGGCCCAGGCCCUAUGGGGCGCAGCAGGCGCGAAAUCUCUGCAAUAGGCGAAAGCUUGACAGGGUUACUCUGAGUGGUUCCCGUUAAGGGGAUCUUUUGGCACCUUUAAAAAUGGUGCAGAAUAAGGGGUGGGCAAGUCUGGUGUCAGCCGCCGCGGUAAUACCAGCACCCCGAGUGGUCGGGACGAUUAUUGGGCCUAAAGCAUCCGUAGCCGGUACUGCAAGUCUUCCGUUAAAUCCACCUGCUUAACAGUUGGGCUGCGGGGGAUACUACAGCGCUAGGAGGCGGGAGAGGCAAGCGGUACUCAAUGGGUAGGGGUAAAAUCCGCUGAUCCAUUGAAGACCACCAGUGGCGAAGGCGGCUUGCCAGAACGCGCUCGACGGUGAGGGAUGAAAGCUGGGGGAGCAAACCGGAUUAGAUACCCGGGUAGUCCCAGCUGUAAA